rnacentral:rRNA from 1 species
UACGAAGGGGGCUAGCGUUGCUCGGAAUCACUGGGCGUAAAGGGCGCGUAGGCGGAUCUUUAAGUCAGGGGUGAAAGCCUGAGGCUCAACCUCAGAAUUGCCUUUGAUACUGAAGAUCUUGAGACCGGAAGAGGUUAGUGGAACUGCGAGUGUAGAGGUGAAAUUCGUAGAUAUUCGCAAGAACACCAGUCGGCGGAAGG